GUAAUUAUUAAGUUUUUUCUGACGCUGACUGCAAUUGCAAAGGGUUUAAAAUGUCCUGCGGACAGGCAAGCCUGCCGAGGAAACAAUAGGUACGCAAAAAUCAUGGGUAUAUUCAGACAGGGCGGGGAGGAUGACGUUCCCUGACGGGUUCGCCAUCCAAGGCCGGCCCCCGAUGGUAAGGUUAAUGAUCCUUCCGCAGGUUCACCUACGGAAA
rnacentral:misc_RNA from 1 species